rnacentral:rRNA from 1 species
GAUGAACGCUGGCGGCGUGCCUAAUACAUGCAAGUCGAGCGAACAGAUAAGGAGCUUGCUCCUUUGACGUUAGCGGCGGACGGGUGAGUAACACGUGGAUAACCUACCUAUAAGACUGGGAUAACUUCGGGAAACCGGAGCUAAUACCGGAUAACAUAUUGAACCGCAUGGUUCAAUAGUGAAAGGCGGCUUUGCUGUCACUUAUAGAUGGAUCCGCGCCGUAUUAGCUAGUUGGUAAGGUAACGGCUUACCAAGGCAACGAUACGUAGCCGACCUGAGAGGGUGAUCGGCCACACUGGAACUGAGACGCGGUCCAGACUCCUACGGGAGGCAGCAGUAGGGAAUCUUCCGCAAUGGGCGAAAGCCUGACGGAGCAACGCCGCGUGAGUGAUGAAGGUCUUCGGAUCGUAAAACUCUGUUAUCAGGGAAGAACAAAUGUGUAAGUAACUGUGCACAUCUUGACGGUACCUGAUCAGAAAGCCACGGCUAACUACGUG